CUCAUCGGUGGAGGGAGGCUGCUAGUGAAAUAUUAAUAUUCUCUAUCGCCCCCACAGCAUGGAAUCUAAAUCAUCCCAAAGGGCCUUCUGAUGCUAGAGCAUAUCAUGCUUUUGAGUGAACAGCAAAAUCCAUUAGGAAGAGAAGGAUGGCAUUCUGAAUGGGGAAGAGAAGAAGUAUGGCUCUGAAAUUUUAAAGAAGCCCAGACACUGUGCUGCUUUAUUCUAUCAACUUCACCACGGAUACAACAUUGUCAUCUUUGGCGGUAAAGAUGGAUUUUCAAGGAAGAGUGCGAGCUGAUCAAAGGGUCGAAAAUGAAGAUAUUGCCAGAUGUAUGUUCACUGUCCGAGGAACAGCCCGUUUACUGCUGGCAAAAGUGUCCAUAACCAGAGGUAUGUUUUGAUGUGAGAGAGGAAGCCAGUCCCGUCAUCGCCACCUCACCCGCUCUUAAGAUAACCUUUGGGCCAACUUGGAGCCCAAGGCUGGUUAGGAGACACCGCUAGAGACACUAUGUA
rnacentral:lncRNA from 1 species